rnacentral:rRNA from 1 species
GAUGAACGCUGGCGGCGUGCCUAAUACAUGCAAGUCGAGCGAACGGACGAGAAGCUUGCUUCUCUGAUGUUAGCGGCGGACGGGUGAGUAACACGUGGAUAACCUACCUAUAAGACUGGGAUAACUUCGGGAAACCGGAGCUAAUACCGGAUGAUAUUUUGAACCGCAUGGUUCAAAAGUGAAAGACGGUCUUGCUGUCACUUAUAGAUGGAUCCGCGCUGCAUUAGCUAGUUGGUAAGGUAACGGCUUACCAAGGCAACGAUGCAUAGCCGACCUGAGAGGGUGAGCGGCCAAAAGGGAACUGAGACGCGGUCCAGACUCCUACGGGAGGCCGCAGUAGGGAAUCGUCCGCAAUGGGCGAACGCGUGACGGAGCAACGCGGCGUGAGGGAUGAAGGUCUUCGGAUCGUAAAACUCUGUUAUUAGGGAAGAACAUAUGUGUAAGUAACUGUGCACAUCUUGACGGUACCUAAUCAGAAAGCCACGGCUAACUACGUG